rnacentral:rRNA from 1 species
AUGAAAGUGGUUGAGUUUUACUACAAAGAAAUGUCAGACAACUCUGGGGUUGAAGAGAUAAUUGCAUUUAGAGAAGUUGUUCAAGAGUUAUAUGAUUCGUAUGCUUCUCUUUAUAAUCCUACAAUUGGCACAGGAGAACCUUCAUCUGAAGCUUCUCACCUCCACAUGAAUGUAAAUACUGAGCCACGAAAGAAAAAGCUAAGUGCUUUUCUAAAUGAUAUAAGUGAAGUAGACCAAGAUAAGUCUGACUUGGGGAAAUAUUGUAGCGCACCCUUGGUAAGGUGGCCUGAAGGUGAAUAUUUUGACAUUCUAUCUUGGUGGAAGACCCAUGGUUCACAGUAUCCUAUCCUUGCUAUGGUUGCAAGAGAUGUUUUGGCUAUUCCUGCCUCCACAGUUGCAUCUGAAUCUGCUUUUAGCGGAGCAGGACGAGUGGUUGACAAGUAUCGUAGUCGUUUGGACCCUGAAGUUGUUGAGGCUUUGAUCUGUACCAAAGAUUGGAUAAGAGCCUCUAGAAAAGAUAAUAAAUGUGAUGUAGCUUCAAUAAUACAAGAUUUAGCUAUCAUUGAUAUUGCUGGAGAAGGCGAGCAAGGCGAGAACAAUGAAGAUGAUGGUGCUUCUAUCCCUACAGAUGAUCACAACGCCUUGGAGAUAGUUUGA